rnacentral:rRNA from 1 species
GACGAACGCUGGCGGCGUGCUUAACACAUGCAAGUCGAGCGGAAAGGCCACUUCGGUGGUACUCGAGCGGCGAACGGGUGAGUAACACGUGAGUAAUCUGCCCCUCACUUUGGGAUAGCCACCGGAAACGGUGAUUAAUACCGGAUAUGACCAUAUGUCGCAUGGCGUGUGGUGGAAGGUUUUUCGGUGAGGGAUGUGCUCGCGGCCUAUCAGCUUGAUGGUGAGGUAAUGGCUCACCAUGGCUUCGACGGGUAGCCGGCCUGAGAGGGUGACCGGUCACACUGGGACUGAGACACGGCCCAGACUCCUACGGGAGGCAGCAGUGGGGAAUAUUGGACAAUGGGCGGAAGCCUGAUCCAGCAACGCCGCGUGAGGGAUGACGGCCUUCGGGUUGUAAACCUCUUUCAGUACCGACGAAGCGCAAGUGACGGUAGGUACAGAAGAAGCACCGGCCAACUACGUG